GUCGGAUGUGUGUGCUCCAAAAUUGUAAAUAAACCAAAUCAAUGAGGUAUACACAUAUGUGAGUUGUUCUUUCCAUUUUAUCAGUAAUGAAUAAAUAAGUUAGUACUUUUUUACCGGCGAGUCUAUCCUAAAAGACCGUACAAGAGCUGUAUAGCCAGUUAAGGUCGUUAAAAACUUCCUUAUAUAUAUAAACGACAGAACUUUA
rnacentral:lncRNA from 1 species